ACUCAGAGGUCGUGUCCAUUCUUUUGUAG
rnacentral:piRNA from 1 species